rnacentral:rRNA from 1 species
CCCUUAGAUGUUCUGGGCUGCACGCGUGCUACACUGAUAUUGCCAAUAUGUCAUUCUUAUCCGAAAUGGAUUGGGUAAUCAAGUAAUGAAAUUUCAUGCUUGGAAUCGGUAAUUGCAAUUUUAUCGUGAACGAGGAAUUCCUAGUAAGCACUAGUCAUCAGUUAAUGUUGAUUAUGUCCCUGCCCUUUGUACACACCGCCCGUCGCUACUACUGAUUGGGUGUUCAAGUGAGAUGCUUAGACCCUUGUUGCAUGGUUCAUUAUUGUGCUCCGAAAGGAAAAAGUUUCAAGCUUGAGUGUCUAGAGGAAGUAAAAGUCGUAACA